rnacentral:rRNA from 1 species
ACGGGAGGCAGCAGUGGGGAAUAUUGGACAAUGGGGGAAACCCUGAUCCAGCGACGCCGCGUGAGUGAAGAAGUAUUUCGGUAUGUAAAGCUCUAUCAGCAGGGAAGAUGAUGACGGUACCUGACUAAGAAGCCCCGGCUAACUACGUGCCAGCAGCCGCGGUAAUACGUAGGGGGCAAGCGUUAUCCGGAUUUACUGGGUGUAAAGGGAGUGUAGGCGGCCAGGCAAGUCAGAUGUGAAAACCCGGGGCUCAACCUCGGGACUGCAUUUGAAACUGCCAGGCUAGAGUACUGGAGGGGCAAGCGGAAUUCCUGGUGUAGCGGUGAAAUGCGUAGAUAUCAGGAAGAACACCGGUGGCGAAGGCGGCUUGCUGGACAGAGACUGACGCUGAGGCUCGAAGGCGUGGGGAGCAAACAGGAUUAGAUACCCAGGUA